rnacentral:rRNA from 1 species
UACGGAGGGGGCUAGCGUUGUUCGGAAUUACUGGGCGUAAAGCGCACGUAGGCGGCUUUGUAAGUUAGAGGUGAAAGCCCGGGGCUCAACUCCGGAACUGCCUUUAAGACUGCAUCGCUAGAAUUGUGGAGAGGUGAGUGGAAUUCCGAGUGUAGAGGUGAAAUUCGUAGAUAUUCGGAAAGAACACCAGUGGCGAAGGCGACUCACUGGACACAUAUUGACGCUGAGGUGCGAAAAGCGUGGGGAGCAAACAGG